GCCGCCUCCCCCGAUCUCCUUUCGCCUGGAACGCUGCUACCCUUUCAGCCGUCGUUUCCACUCAUCCCCAAACCCCGACCCUCCCAAUCCUUCUCCUCUUGUGACCGAGGGUGAAUCCUUUGUGUGCCGCCACUUUUGCGAGAUGUCGCCGAUGCGCAAGGAAAUUCGAAGGAGAAGUGCUACACUUGCAACCCCGGAGGCGGCGGCGGCCGCCCCUUCAUAGAGACAUUCGUGAAGGUUGACGGUCAGGAGAGACAAGGCGCGACGAAUAACUCUUGCGUCCUGAUUGCAGUUCGAUGUCCCUGCCAUCGAUGCAUUUAACAGCCGUCUGCAGAGUGAAGGCCAACGACUAAGUUGUUGUGUGUCCGCGCUCCGUUCAUUCCCUGGUGAGUGGUGACCACUGACCAGCGAGCAUCUAUGUUUCCGUUGCCCUUUCAUUUCAGACGUAUUUUUUCGGUACAAGAUUCAGUUUCACAUAUUGGACAUUUCUUUUCCGAUCGUUCUGGUGCUUCGAUCAGAAGUGCACCGUCGAAUUAACGAGUUAAGCUGCCGUUAAUGGUAGUGGAGGUGCGCCACUCCUAUGCCUCCCUCCUGCUCCUAUUUAUAUGUCAUCACCCGCCUGAUCACCCGGUCUUCCGUCGUCGUGUUCGAUGUCUUCACUACUCCUGCGAUACCUCCUAGAUCAGUCAUGGCUCUCCAAAGCUGAAUUCUUGUCGAUCUUCCAUUUCUUUGCCACUUCUCUCUGUAUCGUGCAGAAUUUCUGACCACAAGAGAACGACAAGGAGGCAGUGGCAGCCAAUUUCAUAUGCGAGGUGGUGAGUCUGGGCGAGCUGCCGCUAAUAUCUCGACAGUAAUUAAUCGAAGUGAUUGUGUUUGUUGUUCAUGAACAUGCUAUGGCAGAACAAUUCAAUUUCUGGCCCAAUUACUUGGUGAGAAAGGCAUCUAGGUAGCAGCACCCUAAUUCAGUUUAUUAUCUCAAGAACCUCAAGUACAUGUAAGAUUUAUUUCUCAGGUUGUUGAUCGCUAAGCCUUCCUAUUGUAUAUAAAAGCUUAUUUUUAUUCUGUUCCUCUUGUCGCUACAAGAAAUUUAACAGAAACAGAACCUAUAGUUUUACGUGAUUCACUAGCCACCAUUAAAUUUCCUUGCUGUUAUGUAUUCUGUGUCAUUCCCUUUUCCUUUUCCCUCCAUGGAGUCCUGAAUAUUAUUCGAAUAAUGUUGAGCUGGUGCAGGUUAUAGAUUUGUGAUUAGCUCUUCUCAAAGUCUAUGAACCUUGGCUUUGGAAAUACGCAUGUUGUCUUGACUAUUCCUAGGUUCCUGCCUAUUUUACCAUUUGACGAUCACAAUUACUAUAUCAUAGUUGCUAUAAGAUGAGUUUUAAAUAUAUGUUGGCACCUACAUAUAUUAUGAAGUGUGAUUUGAUAUAUAUUGCAAAGAAAUAGCAAUGCCUACUUGUUCUGGAUAUAAUUUUGUAUCAGUUCACAACUGAUCAUACAUUUUUAUUUGUUAACAUAAGAAAUCUUUGGCUUCUCCAUUUUUAUUUGUACAUAAGAAACCUUUGACUUCUCCAACCACUGAGUACUGAAGUUUCUAUAUGUCUGGAUUUCUCAAUGGUCAAUCAAUUUGUUACCAUAUAGUUGAGCACUUGAGCAGUCUGCCAAUAUACGAUUAUAAUUUUACUAGCAGGAAGCUAAACAAGAAAAUAUAAUUAACUUUGUUAGGUCCGUGGAGCAAUACUAAGUCUUUAAAUCAUGUGUUAGUAUUGUACUAGAAUUUACGAAGAUUUGUAAUUUUGUUCCAUGAUCCAUGUUAUUGCAUGCCCACAUUAUUUUUCUCCGGGUAUUUUUGGAUGCUUAAAAAAUUACCUCCCGAAGGUUUAUUGUACCAGAGAUUUUAUUUUGAGGCAUGCUACAUUUGAUUUUAACACAAUAGAGAAUAUUUUAAUUCACACAAAAAGGAAAACAACAGCUACAUGGGCCGGCCGUAUAGUGGUUUGCAUGUGCGUUAUAGCGACAAUACGAUCAGAAAAGGCGAUGAAUGGGAUUUUCCGCCCUCACUGGCAUAUUGUUUUUUCCUCCGCAACCAAGCCAAUUCUGCUAGAUUGAAGGCGAGAUGGCUGGUGUUCUUGGUGUGGACUACUCUGAAAGCCAGUCUUCAGCAGGGUUUUUCCUCUCAGAAAUGUAGUUUUUCUAUAAGAAUAGAUACUGAAUCCCGAAUACUUUGAUUGCUGUGUAGUGAAAGUACCGAUAUUCACUAGCCUUUCUGAUUCAGCCCAUUGAAGUCUUGUAUAUGUAAUGCAUUGAGCCAUUGGCAGUGUUGAAAUUGGAGUAAAGAACAAUGUCGAAAUUGCUCUGAUUAUUACCGAAUUAUGUUGUACUCCUGAACUUGUUAGAGGGUGAUAACUUAGAAGUUUCAGGUCUCAUUUGUCCAUUUUCAUUUAGUCAUUUUAUUUUUAACUUUGAGAGGGCACCAUGAUCUUAUUAGGAAUAUCAGCUUAUUUUGCAUGAUUAAUUGAUGUUUUUACAUUCAUAUUUUGCAGCAUUUUGCUCGGGGUGUUCAUGCCUUUUGCCAUGUGCGGAGAUUAGAUCUGUUACAGGCACAUGCCAACAGAAAUAUUGUUAGCAAGACACGUAAGCAGGGGAUUAUGCAAAAGAAUAGUAAAACGUUUGUUGCAAGAAUUAUAUCCUGCUGAUGUGCUGCGUAUUAAAUUGGUUUUCUGCCUAUGAAAUAUUUCCUACAUUAUUUUAGUCAAACGCUCCCAAAGGACAUUUAGGCUCAAAUGUAUUGUAUUGAGACACAUAUUUUCGUAGACUAGCAAGAUUUAGAGAAAA